CGGAGGAUCCAAGCGUUAUCCGGAUUUAUUGGGUUUAAAGGGUGCGUAGGCGGCCUGUUAAGUCAGGGGUGAAAGACGGUGGCUCAACCAUCGCAGUGCCCUUGAUACUGAUGAGCUUGAAUGGACUAGAGGUAGGCGGAAUGUGACAAGUAGCGGUGAAAUGCAUAGAUAUGUCACAGAACACCGAUUGCGAAGGCAGCUUACUAUGGUUUAAUUGACGCUGAGGCACGAAAGCGGGGGGAUCAAACAGGAUUAGAUACCCUGGUAGUCCACGCCCUAAACGAUGAAUACUCGCUGUUAGCGAUAUACAGUUAGCGGCUAAGCGAAAGCGUUAAGUAUUCCACCUGGGGAGUACGCCCGCAAGGGUG
rnacentral:rRNA from 1 species